rnacentral:rRNA from 1 species
GUGUAANGUGGAGGAAGGUGGGGANGANGUNAAGUCAGCANGGCCCUUANGUCNUGGGNGACACACACGNUACAAUGGCUGGGACAACGGGACGCCAACCCGNGAGGGGGAGCCAAUCCCAGCAAACCCAGUNUCAGUUCGGAUGGCAGGUUGCAACCCGCCUGCCUGAAGUGGGAGUUGCUAGUAACCGUGAGUCAGCACAUCACGGUGAAUACGUUCCCGGGUUUUGUACACACCGCCCGUCACACCACGAAAGUCGGCA